CGUAGGGGACGAGCAUUGUCCGGAAUCACUGGGCGUAAAGGGUGCGUAGGCGGUCGAGCAAGUCUGGAGUGAAAGUCCAUGGCUCAACCAUGGGAUGGCUCUGGAAACUGCUUGACUUGAGUGCUGGAGAGGCAAGGGGAAUUCCACGUGUAGCGGUGAAAUGCGUAGAGAUGUGGAGGAAUACCUGUGGCGAAGGCGCCUUGCUGGACAGUGACUGACGCUGAGGCACGAAAGCGUGGGGAGCAAACAGGAUU
rnacentral:rRNA from 1 species